rfam:Human gut metagenome DNA, contig sequence: In-D_004363.
UUUUUGAUUACAGUGUACAAGUCCAGUCAUCCACCUGUGCUUGCACAAAGGUGGAUGACUGGACUUAGGACACGCCCCAAGAAUGAGCAUAAAGUGAAGCGAAAGCUUCACGAUAUGCGAAUGCUUGGGAAGGAUUGCGGGAGUGCGAAGCACGUAGCAAUCCGGAAAGCAAAAA